UCGUACGAGAAGUUCUGCUUCGGCAGGGCGAGUAAAGUGGCGAACGGGUGCGUAACACGUGGGUAAUCUGCCUUGAAGCUUGGGAUAAGCCCCCGAAAGGGGGUCUAAUACCGGAUAACGUCUCCGGAGGGCAUCCUCCGGGGACCAAAGAUGGCCUAUACUCGUAAGCUAUCGCUUUGAGAUGAACCCGCGGUCCAUUAGCUUGUUGGUGAGAUAAAAGCUCACCAAGGCUACUAUGGAUAGCCGACCUGAGAGGGUGUACGGCCACACUGGGACUGAGAUACGGCCCAGACUCCUACGGGAGGCAGCAGUAGGGAAUAUUGCGCAAUGGGCGAAUGCCUGACGCAGCAACGCCGCGUGGGUGAUGAAGUUUUUCGGAAUGUAAAACCCUGUCAGAGGGGAAGAAACUUUCCGGGGCGAAUAGCCCCGGAGACUGACGGUACCCUCAGAGGAAGCUCCGGCCAACUCCGUGCCAGCAGCCGCGGUAAUACGGGGGGAGCAAGCGUUGUUCGGAAUCACUGGGCGUAAAGGGUGUGUAGGCGGGUAAGUAAGUCGGGCGUGAAAACUCCAGGCUCAACCUGGAGCCUGCGUUCGAAACUGCUUGUCUUGAGUACGGGAGAGGAAAGUGGAAUUCCUGGUGUAGCGGUGAAAUGCGUAGAUAUCAGGAGGAACACCGGUGGUGAAGGCGGCUUUCUAGCCCGAUACUGACGCUGAGACACG
rnacentral:rRNA from 1 species